AAAAUUACUUUUAAAAGUUUCUUCUUUUAUUAAAAUGGACUUUCUUAAAUAAAAUACAUCCUCUGAUAGCAGCUAUCUCUUUUUACUUGUAAUGAUUAAUUCUAAAUGCUUCAUGUAAUUGAGGGACAUUAUGAGAAGACUAGAAAGUAUCUCAUCAGAUAAUCCUAAGGGCUGUAACUUCUACUUGCCAUAAACAAAGUAUAAUUAAGAGUGAGUAGCAAUUGGUUUGGGGAGUCGUAGUUAUAUAUGAAACUUUCUUUUGUUUCUCAUGAUGUAUGUAAAAUGUUUGCAGAAGGAUGGUAGAAAAUGUUACUAAUGAAUUUAGAGUGGUUUGGGAGAAUACACUGAUACUUCCUCAUUUGAAAAUUAUAAGGAGUUACAAGGGGAACUAAGAACCAGAAGUGGCUGGCCUCUAGCUUUUCAAUACCUGAUAAGUGUUCUUGGUUAUGUUUUGAACACUUAAAUUUCUCAACAAAUGGCUAUGUCUAUAUUUAUGUAGGGGCCACCCUUGCCCUACUUGCAUGCCACUUUGACUUUUAACUGAAAUCAGUGUGAAUUCUGUAUGCAUAAGGGAUGUAAUAAAGAGGCGGGAUCAUUAACGCUA
rnacentral:lncRNA from 1 species